CUCGAGAGAGGCUGCGGUAAAAGCAGGCCUCUACAUGUAAGCUUGCACCGGAGGAUCGGCCCGCGGCCCAUCAGCUAGUUGGUAGGGUAACGGCCUACCAAGGCUAAGACGGGUAGCUGGUCUGAGAGGAUGAUCAGCCACACUGGAACUGAGACACGGUCCAGACUCCUACGGGAGGCAGCAGUGGGGAAUCUUGCGCAAUGGGCGAAAGCCUGACGCAGCGACGCCGCGUGGGUGAUGAAGGCCUUCGGGUUGUAAAGCCCUGUGGGGAGGGACGAAUAAGUCGGAGCUAACACCUCCGGCGAUGACGGUACCUCCUUAGCAAGCACCGGCUAACUCUGUGCCAGCAGCCGCGGUAAGACAGAGGGUGCAAACGUUGUUCGGAAUUACUGGGCGUAAAGCGUGUGUAGGCGG
rnacentral:rRNA from 1 species